UCCGAGUUGACCCCGGCAGUCUCCUACGAGUCCCCGGCAUUACCCGCUGGCAACAUAGGACAAGGGUUGCGCUCGUUGCGGGACUUAACCCAACAUCUCACGACACGAGCUGACGACAGCCAUGCACCACCUGUGCACAGGCCCCGAAGGGCUGCCGUAUUUCUACGACAUUCCUGUGCAUGUCAAGCCCAGGUAAGGUUCUUCGCGUCGCGUCGAAUUAAACCACAUAAUCCACCGCUUGUGCGGGCCCCCGUCAAUUCCUUUGAGUUUCAGCCUUGCGGCCGUACUCCCCAGGCGGGGCACUUACUGCGUUAGCGACGGCACCGGGAGGGUCGCUCCCCCGACGCCUAGUGCCCAUCGUUUACGGCGUGGACUAC
rnacentral:misc_RNA from 1 species